GAUGAACGCUGGCGGCGUGCCUAAUACAUGCAAGUCGAGCGAACGGACGAGAAGCUUGCUUCUCUGAUGUUAGCGGCGGACGGGUGAGUAACACGUGGAUAACCUACCUAUAAGACUGGGAUAACUUCGGGAAACCGGAGCUAAUACCGGAUAAUAUUUUGAACCGCAUGGUUCAAAAGUGAAAGACGGUCUUGCUGUCACUUAUAGAUGGAUCCGCGCUGCAUUAGCUAGUUGGUAAGGUAACGGCUUACCAAGGCAACGAUGCAUAGCCGACCUGAGAGGGUGAUCGGCCACACUGGAACUGAGACACGGUCCAGACUCCUACGGGAGGCAGCAGUAGGGAAUCUUCCGCAAUGGGCGAAAGCCUGACGGAGCAACGCCGUGUGAGUGAUGAAGGUCUUCGGAUCGUAAAACUCUGUUAUUAGGGAAGAACAUAUGUGUAAGUAACUGUGCACAUCUUGACGGUACCUAAUCAGAAAGCCACGGCUAACUACGUG
rnacentral:rRNA from 1 species